UACGAAGGGGGCUAGCGUUGCUCGGAAUCACUGGGCGUAAAGCGCACGUAGGCGGAUCGCUAAGUCAGGGGUGAAAUCCUGGAGCUCAACUCCAGAACUGCCCUUGAUACUGGCGAUCUCGAGUCCGGGAGAGGUGAGUGGAACUGCGAGUGUAGAGGUGAAAUUCGUAGAUAUUCGCAAGAACACCAGUGGCGAAGGCGGACUCACUGGCCCGGUACUGACGCUGAGGUGCGAAAGCGUGGG
rnacentral:rRNA from 1 species